rnacentral:rRNA from 1 species
CACGUCCCAUAUCUUGAGGCGGCAGUAAUGAUUCUUGGACAAUGGGACAACGGGAACCCUGAUCCAGCCAGCUCGCGU